rnacentral:lncRNA from 10 species
GAGAUAGGGUCUCACUCUGUCAUUUAGACUGGAGUGCAGUGGCACGAUCUCUGCUCACUGCAACCUCUGCCUCCCAGGCUCAAGUGAUUCUCCUGCCUCAGCCUCUGGAGUAACUGGGAUUCCAGGCAUGAGCCAUCAGGCAUGGCCUAAUUUACUAUUUUUUGGUAGAGAUGGGGUUUCAACAUGUUACCAGGCUGGUCUCGAACUAGUGGACUCAAGCAAUCUGCCCACCUUGGCCUCCUAAAGUGUUGGGAUCACAGGUGUGAGCCACCAAGCCCAGCCAUACUCUUUACCCAUAAAUUCCUCUUUUAGGAAUUACUGCUCCAGAUACAGCUACACAUUUACACAAAGCUUCAUGUAUAAGGAUGUUUCUCCCUUCACAUUGCUUGCAUCAGUGAAAAACUGGAAACACAAAUGUCCACCAAUAGGGACUGACUUUGUUUUUUGAGAUGGAGUUUCGCUCUUGUUGGAGUGCGAUGGUGCGAUCUCAGCCCACCACAAUCUCCGCCUCCUGGGUUCAAGUAUUCUCCUGCCUCAGCCUCCCAAGUAGCUGGGAUUACAGGUAUGUGCCCCCACGCCCAGCUGAUUUUGCAUUUUUAGUAGAGACGGGGUUUCUCCAUGUUGGCCAGGCUGGCCUUGAACACCCAACCUCAGGUGAUCCGCCUGCCUCGGCCUCCCAAAGUGCUGGGAUUACAGGCGUGAGCCACCGUGCCUGGCCAGGGACUGACUUUUUAAAAAAUAUAAAAAAUGUUAAAAACAUGCAAACAAAUAAAAAAAGAAAAGAAAAAAGUUAAGGUACAUUUACAUAAAGAAAUACUCUGCAACCAUUAGAAAUGAGGUAGUUUGUUAUUUGUGGAAAUGGAAAAUCUCCAAAAUGUACAAAAUGAAAAAAAAAAAAAAGGUGAAUUACUGUAUAGGAUACUCACUUUUAUGUUAACAAAAAUAUAUAUAUACACACAACCAUGUAAAUACCGGGACAUAUAAGAGAUAGUCAGAAAAUCUCCUAAGAAGCUGUCCUGUUGCUGAUGGCUAGCUCCAGCAAGCCGGAGCAGGGGCCUACAGUGGGAAAUUCAUAUUCUGUGGUAUACCCUUUCAACCAUUUAAAUUUUUAAAAGUUUACCAGGUCAUGUUUUAUUUAUAUAACAAUAAAAUCUAAUCAGGAUAGCCAUAAAUGCUAUAUCAGAAUUAAUCACUGUGAAAUAAACCAGUGAAAUAUGAUAAGUGGAUACAAGUCUAGCCCAAAGCUACCUGACAUUAGGUAGUCCAUGGAGCCUCAUUAGGAUGUAAUUCUGGAAAUAUUUAAGAGUUCAUAGAUUAUCACAUUUUCUACUUUCACAGACCGUAGAAGGUUGGGAAACCUGCCGGGCACGGUGGCUCACACCUGUAAUCCCAGCACUUUGG